GAUGAACGCUGGCGGUAUGCCUAACACAUGCAAGUCGUACGAGAGUUUUUAACUCUAGUGGCGGACGGGUGAGUAACACGUGAGAAUUUGCCUUUAGGAGGGGGACAACAAUUGGAAACGAAUGCUAAUACCCCAUAUGCUUUCGAGUGAAAUGGAUUUUAUCCGCCUAGAGAGAAGCUCGCGGCUGAUUAGCUUGUUGGUAAGGUAAGAGCUUACCAAGGCGACGAUCAGUAUCUGGUUUGAGAGGACGAUCAGACACACUGGAACUGAGACACGGUCCAGACUCCUACGGGAGGCAGCAGUGGGGAAUUUUCCGCAAUGGGCGAAAGCCUGACGGAGCAAUACCGCGUGAGGGAAGAAUGCCUAUGGGUUGUAAACCUCUUUUUUCAGGGAGGAAUAAAAUAGACGUGUACCUGAAGAAUAAGCAUCGGCUAACUACCGUG
rnacentral:rRNA from 1 species